CGCAGAUGACGCUGGCGGCGUGCUUAACACAUGCAAGUCGAACGAUGAUCUCCAGCUUGCUGGGGGGAUUAGUGGCGAACGGGUGAGUAACACGUGAGUAACCUGCCCUUGACUCUGGGAUAAGCCUGGGAAACUGGGUCUAAUACCGGAUACGACCGUCCCGCGCAUGCGGUGGUGGUGGAAAGCUUUUGCGGUUUUGGAUGGACUCGCGGCCUAUCAGCUUGUUGGUGGGGUAAUGGCCUACCAAGGCGACGACGGGUAGCCGGCCUGAGAGGGUGACCGGCCACACUGGGACUGAGACACGGCCCAGACUCCUACGGGAGGCAGCAGUGGGGAAUAUUGCACAAUGGGCGAAAGCCUGAUGCAGCGACGCCGCGUGAGGGAUGACGGCCUUCGGGUUGUAAACCUCUUUCAGUAGGGAAGAAGCGAAAGUGACGGUACCUGCAGAAGAAGCGCCGGCUAACUACGUGCCAGCAGCCGCGGUAAUACGUAGGGCGCAAGCGUUAUCCGGAAUUAUUGGGCGUAAAGAGCUCGUAGGCGGUUUGUCGCGUCUGCUGUGAAAGACCGGGGCUCAACUCCGGUUCUGCAGUGGGUACGGGCAGACUAGAGUGAUGUAGGGGAGACUGGAAUUCCUGGUGUAGCGGUGAAAUGCGCAGAUAUCAGGAGGAACACCGAUGGCGAAGGCAGGUCUCUGGGCAUUAACUGACGCUGAGGAGCGAAAGCAUGGGGAGCGAACAGGAUUAGAUACCCUGGUAGUCCAUGCCGUAAACGUUGGGCACUAGGUGUGGGGGACAUUCCACGUUUUCCGCGCCGUAGCUAACGCAUUAAGUGCCCCGCAU
rnacentral:rRNA from 1 species